AAUGGUGGCUGUAAGUAAAAAACUAAGGUUGUCUCGCAAGGGUAUAAAGAACAAAUUUAAAAUUAUUAUAGAUAUUUGAAGUUUAAAUUGGCUGCAAUGAUGGGAGAUUUUAGAGGAUUGUAUAAAAUCAAGAGAGUUAGUCAAAUGGGAAAUCAAAGGUAUAUAAAAACAAGGUUGGCGGAAAGUAUCAAAAUUAAUAAUAAGAAUUUCUUCAAAUACAUUAAGGAUAAGCAGGAUGUUAGGACCUUCAGUGGUUAAUGGCUAAUAUCUGAUGAUUAUGGGAUGGCUGGGUUAUUAAAUGUUGCUUUUUCUUCAAUUAUUGGUAAUGAAGAUUUAAGCAAUAUCCCUCAUCUUCAACUGUUGAAGAUAGAGUGAAACAAGACUGAAGAAGAAGAUCACAUUAAUUCUGAGCUUGUUAAGAAAAACUGGGAAGUUCAAAGAAUUAUAAGUCUUCUGGAUCAGAUAAUAUUUAAUCAAAGGUUUUGAAAGAAGUUAAGGAUUGGACAUGUGCUGAAUCAUUCUGGUGGAACAUGAUCCUUUCAGGUUUUUACUGUGUGAAGAUGUACAUUAAGUACUGGAUCAUUCUGGUAGAACAUGAUCCUUUCAUGUUUUAACUGUGUGAAGAUGUACAUUAAGUACUGGAUCAUUCUAGUAGAACAUGAUACUUUCAGGUUUUAACUGUGUGAAGAUGUACAUUAAGUACUGGAUCAUUCUAGUAGAACAUGAUACUUUCAGGUUUUAACUGUGUGAAGAUGUACAUUAAGUGCUGGGCCAGACUGACUGACUAGUCUGAGUGCUAGGUGCUUUUCAUGUUAAGAUUAAAACUACUUUUAUUAUCUUCUAAAUUAACACCCAAUUUUUUCUUUAAAACAUAUUUUGUCUGUUAUUUUUUCUACCCUUUACCGUUUACAGAAUCGGUCCUUUUGACCUACCUUGUAAACACCAUAAAAAAUACGAAAUAAAUCUAAAUGAUCAUUCUUUUUCUUUGUAGCAUACUACUGGUUUUAAGAGACAAUUAAAAUUAUUUAUCCUAAAAUGUUCAAUCUUCUAUUCUUUUCACAUCUAUUUUAUUUUAUUUCUCCGUGAAUCAUGUUUCGGUACUAAUUCUUCCUACAAAAAACAAAUUGCGCGUCAACUGCGCAACUCACAUUACGUAGUCCACGAGCAUCUCGCGUGAAGACGUCACUCAGAAUUUUUAUUUGUGUAUUUAAUUUCUAAUUUAUUACUUAACAUAAAUUUCUAAUUUUUACAAUUUAGUUACUUUUAUAGCAAUAAAUAAAUAUAUAUAAAAAAAAGAAAUUGAGUACUUUUGUCAAGCCUCUUGUUCUUCACUGCGUCCCGCACACUUCCGCUGAUGGAAGCUUUACGAAGAGGAUUAAUUAUAAUGGUCUAGUCAGAAAAGAGAAAGACUUUAUUUUAUUGUAAUUAACCAACGUAAAAAACGAAGUUGUGUUAACACUAACAGUGCUACAGUUAAACUGUUGACAGCUAUUCUCUAUGGAAAAGAUGAUGUUUGUUUUCAUCAAGAGUCGUAUGAUGACAUAUUCUGAAGGUUCUUAGAAACAUGGAAGUCAUAAUAGAUGUUUUCACUAGUUUUAUGGUGACAGGAAAAAAAGUGAAUAUAUCUUAAAGUUUCUGUUGAUUUUCUACAGAUUGAGGAGAGAGGACUUGUUAUUUGUCUAGAUAUAGGAAUGUCUAAAAAUGGGAGUGAAUUGUUUGUUUCCCAAUCCACUUUAUCCUCUAGAAAAAGACUUUAAAAUCAUUUCUGUUAUUUGGCCAAACAAAAAAUAUGUCAUCAACGUAUGGGAACCAAGGGAUUUUCUUUGAAUUCAGAUCCACUAUUGGAAUUAAUUCACGUUCAAAAUACUCCAUGACGAUGUAACAUAAAACGGGUUUCCUAUAGCCAUUCCGUAUUUCUGUCUGUGAUAUUGUCUCAUACAUGUAAAUACAUUAUCAUCAACACCUACUUCCACAAGGAAGAUGAAAGUGUGAACCGGUACAGGAAGUGGAAUGUUAAGAUUAUUUUAAGAAAGAUUAAUGUUUAUAUUUGUAAACAAAGAAUCAACAUUGACUGUUUUAUCUUCAUUUAUGUUAGACUUUAUUGUCCAAAUCUAUGUUAUUUAGAAUGUGUGAUGUUGAGAACUUGUAUAGAGCAGGAGAUAGGUGUUGUGUCAGCCACUUGGAUAAGUACCUGAUCCUAUUUGGA